CGUCAGGAAGAUCCCCUGGAGUAGGAAAUGGCAACCCACUCCAGUACUCUUGCCUGGGAAAUCCCAUGGACAGAGGAGCCUGGAGGCUACAGUCCGUGGGGUCUCAAGAGUCGGACCACGGCUGAGAGACAGCACACCUGAGCAGCGUGGCAUUGCUGGGUGGCAGCAGGACUCACCAGGCUUCCGCGAUAGGAGGCCACUCGUGUGUACCCGCUGUGUUCUAUGCGAAAUCCAGAAGACUUGUCGCUAGAAGCUUGUCCCACUGUUUGGCAGCUGGCACUGUGACACCCCGAGGGCCAAGGGAACAUGGGCCUUCCUGGAGGCCCAGGGUCCACCCCUCCUGGGCCAUGGCUGCAUCUAGCAACAAAACUGCUGCCAUCAGAACACUGUCGCCCAGUCCUGGGUGAGCAGGAGGUAGUCAUGGCUCAAAAAUAAGAAGAGAGAGAAGAAAGAACUGACUGGAAUAGGAGAGGCAUCCUGUCUAGUCCUGCUCUUGGUUUCCUGUGUGUACAUCACCUCUUCCCAGUCAGAACAGGACACACUGUUGCUUUCAUUUGCUUCCCAGAGCUCGGCGCACAGAAGAGCCUGAGAUCUGCAACAAGAGAAGCCACCGCAAUGGGAAGCUCGUGUACCACAAACUAGAGAAAUAGCUCCCUGCUUGCUGCAACAAGAGAAAGCCCCAGCAGCCAUGAAG